rnacentral:rRNA from 1 species
CACGAACCGUACGAACGUUAUUCGGAAUUACUGGGCUUAAAGGGUUUGUAGGCGGCCUUGUAAGUCAGGUGUGAAAGCCCUCGGCUCAACCGAGGAACAGCGCUUGAUACUGCAAGGCUUGAGGGAGACAGGGGUAAGCGGAACUGAUGGUGGAGCGGUGAAAUGCGUAGAUAUAGGAAGGAACACCGGUGGCGAAGGCGGCAUCCUGGACCAAUACUGACGCUGAGGAGCGAAAGCCAGGGGAGCAAACGGG